rnacentral:rRNA from 1 species
UAUCGUAAUAGUAAUUCAACUUAGUACGAGAGGAACCGUUGAUUCACGUAAUUGGUAUUUGCGGCUGUCCGAUCGGGCAAUGCCGCGAAGCUACCACGCGUUGGAUUAUGGCUGAACGCCUCUAAGCCAGAAUCCGUGCUAGAAACGAUGAUGUUAGUCCCGCGAAUCUUAGUCGAGUUAAGAUAGAGCCUUGUGCUCGUAAACCAUAGUUGGCUGGUCCCUCUAUUCUUGGCGGAAAGGCCUUGGGUAGUCACCGGUGAAUUGCAUUCGAAAUAUACGCGGGGGUGAAUCCUUUGCAGACGACUUGAAUAGAACGGAGUACUGUAAGUGGU